GACGAACGCUGGCGGCGUGCUUAACACAUGCAAGUCGAACGGUGAAGCGCCUUCCUUUUUGGUGGGUGUGGAUGAGUGGCGAACGGGUGAGUAACACGUGAGUAACCUGCCCCCUUCUUCUGGAUAACCGCAUGAAAGUGUGGCUAAUACGGGAUAUUCUGGGUCUGUCGCAUGAUGGGUCUGGGAAAGAUAUUGUUUCGGUGGGGGAUGGGCUCGCGGCCUAUCAGCUUGUUGGGGGGGUGAUGGCCUACCAAGGCGGUGACGGGUAGCCGGCCUGAGAGGGUGGACGGUCGCACUGGGACUGAGACACGGCCCAGACUCCUACGGGAGGCAGCAGUGGGGAAUAUUGCACAAUGGGCGCAAGCCUGAUGCAGCGACGCCGCGUGAGGGAUGGAGGCCUUCGGGUUGUGAACCUCUUUCGCCAGUGAAGCAGGCCUGCCUCGUUUGUGGGUGGGUUGACGGUAGCUGGAUAAGAAGCGCCGGCUAACUACGUG
rnacentral:rRNA from 1 species